GAGUUUGAUCCUGGCUCAGGAUGAACGCUGGCGGCGUGCCUAAUACAUGCAAGUCGAGCGAGAAACCUCUUUGAAGAUUCUUCGGAUGAUUCUGUGAGGUGGAAAGCGGCGGACGGGUGAGUAACGCGUAGGCAACCUGCCCUUUGCACAGGGAUAGCCAAUGGAAACGUUGAUUAAUACCUGAUAACGUGGGACCGAUGCAUAUCGGACCUGCCAAAGAUUUAUCGGCAAAGGAUGGGCCUGCGUCUGAUUAGCUAGUUGGUGAGGUAACGGCUCACCAAGGCUACGAUCAGUAGCCGACCUGAGAGGGUGAUCGGCCACAUUGGAACUGAGACACGGUCCAAACUCCUACGGGAGGCAGCAGUAGGGAAUCUUGCACAAUGGGCGAAAGCCUGAUGCAGCAACGCCGCGUGAAGGAUGAAGGCCUUCGGGUUGUAAACUUCUUUUCUUAGGGAAGAAGAAAGUGACGGUACCUAAGGAAUAAGCCCCGGCUAACUACGUGCCAGCAGCCGCGGUAAUACGUAGGGGGCAAGCGUUAUCCGGAAUUAUUGGGCGUAAAGAGUGCGUAGGUGGUUACCUAAGCGCAGGGUUUAAUCUAUCGGCUUAACUGAUACUCGCCCUGCGAACUGGGUACCUUGAGUGCAGGAGGGGAAAGCGGAAUUCCUAGUGUAGCGGUGAAAUGCGUAGAUAUUAGGAGGAACACCAGCGGCGAAGGCGGCUUUCUGGACUGUAACUGACACUGAGGCACGAAGGCGUGGGGAGCAAACAGGAUUAGAUACCCUGGUAGUCCACGCCGUAAACGAUGAGCACUAGCUGUUGGGUACGAAUGUAUUCAGUGGCGCAGUUAACGCAAUAAGUGCUCCGCCUGGGGAGUACGCUCGCAAGAGUAAAACUCAAAGGAAUUGACGGGGACCCGCACAAGCAGCGGAGCAUGUGGUUUAAUUCGAAGCAACGCGAAGAACCUUACCAGGUCUUGACAUCCUCUUGAAACCCUUGAUAACGAUAGGGCCUCUUCGGACAAGAGAGACAGGUGGUGCAUGGUUGUCGUCAGCUCGUGUCGUGAGAUGUUGGGUUAAGUCCCGCAACGAGCGCAACCCUCGUCGCUAGUUACUAACAUUAAGUUGAGGACUCUAGCGAGACUGCCGAGGUCAACUCGGAGGAAGGUGGGGAUGACGUCAAAUCAUCAUGCCCCUUAUGAUCUGGGCUACACACGUGCUACAAUGGUCGGUACAAUGAGAAGCGAACUCGUGAGGGGGAGCGAACCACCAAAACCGAUCCCAGUUCGGAUUGUAGGCUGAAACUCGCCUACAUGAAGUUGGAGUUGCUAGUAAUCGCGAAUCAGCAUGUCGCGGUGAAUGCGUUCCCGGGUCUUGUACACACCGCCCGUCACACCAUGGAAGUUGGGGGUGCCCGAAGUUGGUUAAUCAAUCUACUACCUAAGGCAAAACCAAUGACUGGGGUGAAGUCGUAACAAGGUAGCCGUAUCGGAAGGUGCGGCUGGAUCACCUCCUU
rnacentral:rRNA from 1 species